rnacentral:rRNA from 1 species
UACGUAGGGUGCAAGCGUUGUCCGGAAUUAUUGGGCGUAAAGAGCUCGUAGGCGGCUUGUCGCGUCGACUGUGAAAGCCCGCGGCUCAACCGUGUGGUCUGCAGUCGAUACGGGCAGGCUAGAGUUCGGUAGGGGAGACUGGAAUUCCUGGUGUAGCGGUGAAAUGCGCAGAUAUCAGGAGGAACACCGGUGGCGAAGGCGGUUCUCUGGGCCUGUACUGACGCUGAGGAGCGAAAGCGUGGGGAGCGAACAGG